AAGUAUUUAUUUACUUAAACCACCUGUGUACUUACCUGUUGCUUCCGUGGAAUAUAGGGCUCCUCGCCGGCUUUUUUUACAGGCCUUGAGGACUGCCUUCCACGGGUGUACCUUUUAAAAACCUGUUUUUGAUGUUCUGUCUGAAAUAGCUUUAUAAUAAAGUUA
rnacentral:misc_RNA from 1 species